UGGAGAUUUGAUCCUGGCUCAGGACGAACGCUGGCGGCGUGCUUAACACAUGCAAGUCGAACGAUGAUGGUGGUGCUUGCAUCACCUGAUUAGUGGCGAACGGGUGAGUAACACGUGAGUAACCUGCCCCUCACUUCGGGAUAACCUCGGGAAAUCGUGGCUAAUACCGGAUAUGAACUUCUACCGCAUGGUGGUUGUUGGAAAGAUUUAUCGGUGAGGGAUGGACUCGCGGCCUAUCAGUUUGUUGGUGAGGUAAUGGCUCACCAAGACGAUGACGGGUAGCCGGCCUGAGAGGGCGACCGGCCACACUGGGACUGAGACACGGCCCAGACUCCUACGGGAGGCAGCAGUGGGGAAUAUUGCACAAUGGGCGAAAGCCUGAUGCAGCGACGCCGCGUGAGGGAUGACGGCCUUCGGGUUGUA
rnacentral:rRNA from 1 species